ensembl:misc_RNA 7SK 7SK RNA
GGAUGUGAGGGCGAUCUGGCUGCGACAUCUGUCACCCCACUGAUCGCCAGGGUUGAUUCGGCUGAUCUGGCUGGCUAGUCGGGUGUCCCCUUCCUUCCUCAUCGCUCCAUGUGCGUCCCUUCCAAAGCUGCGUACUCCGUGGAAGAGGACCACCAUCCCUGCUAGAGAAGGACUGGUCUUCAGUCAAGGGUAUACAAUAGCUGUGCUCCCCUGCUAGAAAUUCCAAACAAGCUCUCAAGGAAAAGUGAUUACAAAUGUUGGUAUUUGCUAAAAACAGGUAUCAAGAAGAGCACAGUGGGAGAGUAUAUAGGACCUAACAAGCACAGCAGACUUUGCUAGACAAGUGGAUCUGCAAGAAUCU